rnacentral:rRNA from 1 species
AGCUCCAAUAGCGUAUAUUAAAGUUGUUGCAGUUAAAAGCUCGUAGUUGAAUUUGUGGCGGCGGGCGCGGUCCGUUUGGUACUAUCGCCCGCCGGCAUCCUCGGGCGGAGCCUGUGUGGCAUUGAGUUGUCGCGCAGGGGAUGCCCGUCGUUUACUGUGAAAAAUUAGAGUGUUCAAAGCAGGCUUACGCCGUUGAAUAUGUUAGCAUGGAAUAAUGAGAUAGGACCUUGGUACUAUUUUGUUGGUUUGCGCACCGAGGUAAUGAUUAAUAGGGACAGUUGGGGGUAUUCGUAUUCCAUUGUCAGAGGUGAAAUUCUUGGAUUUCUGGAAGACGAACUACUGCGAAAGCAUUUACCAAGGAUGUUUUCA